GGCCUGGAGCUAAAACAUAACUCAGGCAUAGAUAUUAUCUCUAAAGAGGAAAGGUUAGGGGUCCAAACCCCAUGGUGAGAGAGAUGCUAGGGGAGGAAAGGUCAUGGGGGAGCAGGGUCCCACCCUUUAAUGGAUUGUCUAUUGUUAGGCCCCUGGGGCUUCCACCCUGGUGACCUGCACCUGGCCCAUUGCCCUUGCUCUGCUCAUGUCUGUUUAACAGCCCGUCACAAAGAGCAUGUGGCUAGUGACUACUGUAUUAGUCCAGGAGGUGUCUGGCCAACCAAGGGGAGCUCUUCAGCAGAGAUGGAUCGAUGGUCUGAACUGCACAAAGCAGUUUAGUGGUGAUCAGACAUGAUAGUGGUUGAAACCAUGGAUAUGAAUGACAUUGUCCAAGUAAUAUAUGUAGAAAGAGGAGGGCCAGAGCCUAAUUCGGGGAACGAGACAAAGAAAGAGGAGUAAAAAAAAAUUGCAGAGAUGAUGUCUUCUUCCCAGAAGCAGACCCUGAGAUGAGGAUUUGUGUGCGAGUUAUUUAUUUAAAACGUGCUACAAGAAGAAACCAGUAAGGGAGCGGGGAAGGCAGGAGAGGAAACCAAGCAAGCAUGUGAUCUCAGGCAGCUUUACCAUGGGGGAGCUCUGGAUGUUAAGUUAUGCCUCAGAUUUGUCAGGAAAUGAGGGACUGGGCCUUACAUAUACCAACAUCCCUUAGCUGUUGAACAAGGGUUGCCCCAGGAGAUGUCAAUUCCAAGGCCAAGCCGCCAACAUUCCUUAAAUGAAAAACAAAAACAGAAAAGAAAGAAAAACCACCUGGAAGUUCUUUUAGAAACCACAUACCAAAGACCAGGGAGUGUGGGAGUAUAGAGUGUAUAUGGGGGGGGGGGGGGGGGGGGAGGCAAAAACAAAUGAUAAACAGAGAUCCAUAAUACUGCUAUUGUCUUCUAUAAUGACUACCAUUGCUCAGUGACCUUGGUGAGAAUAAUUUUAGGGACGUGGUGGAAGCAGAAGCCAAAUGGUAGAGGAUUGAAGAACAAAUGGAAGGUGAAUAAGUGGGAGGAGGGAUGUGGAGAACUAUCUCACAGUUUGACCAAAAGGAAGGAAAGAGAUAUGGUGGGCUGUAGUUUGAAAGGGAAGAAAAGAUUUGCCGGUUUAUAUCCCGAGGAAGACCUAAUUAUGUCAAAAGUCUAAGGAGAAAGGAGCCAGUAGAAAGGAUGGUGAUUGAAGGAAUGAGUUUUGGGGAAGGUGGGAAGGAUGGGAUCCAAGGCCCAGGUUAAGCCAAGAUAUUGAUAAGGAAGUGAGAAACAUGUCUUCCUCAGUAAGAGGGCAUGUACUUCUCAGGAUGCUUUCAGCUACAAUGGAAACUCCAAUUUAAGGUUGAUUGAACAUAAGAAGGGGGAGUUUGUUGGUUCACAAAUUUGAAAAAUCAAAGAUAGAAUGACUUCAGGCAUGCUUAGAGCCAAAAGCUCAAUGUCCAUUUGAACUUGGUCUCUUUCUCUUAGUUCUGCUUUUUUUCUGGACUAUCUUCAUUCUCAGGCAGGUUGUACCCUCAGAGGUAGCUAUAUGGCUGCCUGCAGCUGCAAGCUUACCAGAGUAACAACCCUAGCGGAAAAAGAUCCUGGCUUUCCCAACAGCUCCAACAAAUGCAGUCGGGUUUAAUUUCAUCAGCUCAGCUUGGGUCACCCAAUAAACAUCUGUUGUAUAAUAAAGAAUUUGUCUGAUCUUUGUCCCAUGUUCCUGGCACAGAGGAUUAAAAGUACUUGGUAUUUCCAGAGUGAUAGAAGUGUCUGUUAUUCAUGAACCCCUUAGGUGACUCAUGGCAAGCCCCUAAAUAUCUUCAGGAUGGGGGCUGGUCACCACCAAGACCAACGUUGUGAUAAGAGGGUUGGGAUUUUGAGCCAGCUCAGCAUCCAAGGAGGGCAGGGAGGGGGCCUGGAGAUUGUGUUCAGUCACAUGGUAAUGAUUUAAUUAAUCAUGCCUAAAUAAUGAAGCCCCAAUAACUACUCUGGACAGUGAAGCCCAACCAGUUCUUCCUGGUUGGUGAAUGCAUUGAUGUUCCAGGAGGAUGAUAUGUUGAUUCCAUGGGGAGAGUGGAUGGAUGCUCUGUAUUUGGACCCUCCCAGACCUCACCCUAUGUGUCUCUUCAUUUGGCUGUUCCUGACUUCCUUGGUGCUUUGGCCUAGACCUCCUGGCCCUCCAAGUCAUAUUCGGUUCUGUCAGGGCAGUUUGACAGCCUAAAGAACUCGGGCUUUACUUUAGCUCUGCCUCUGAACGACACACACCAUCUCCCUCACUGCUGUCCAUCUUCUUCCCUCUGGUUUCAGGCUUCAAAGUGUGAUCCCCUCCAGGAAGCCAGGUGAGGCCGAACCACCUGGGCCACCUCUCAAGUGCCGUUUACUUAGUAGCUUUUGCGUGACAUUCACUAAGUG